UAAUGAUUAGAGGCCUUGGGGACGUAAUGUCCUCAACCUAUUCUCAAACUUUCAAUGGAUAUGGCGUCGCAGUUUCUUUAGUGAACUGCGGCGUGAAUGCGAGUUCCAAGUGGGCCAUUUUUGGUAAGCAGAACUGGCGCUGUGGGAUGAACCAAACGUGGAGUUAAGGUGCCUAACUUCUCGCUUAUGAGACCCCAUAAAAGGUGUUGGUUGAUAUUGACAGCAGGACGGUGGCCAUGGAAGUCGGUACCCGCUAAGGAGUGUGUAACAACUCACCUGCCGAAUCAACUAGCCCUGAAAAUGGAUGGCGCUUAAGCGAGAGACCUAUACUCCGCCGUCGCGGCAUGUGCGUUGUCUAGCGCCAGGUCGCGACGAGUAGGAAGGACGUGGCGGUUGCGUUGAAGGCUAUGAGCGUAGGCUCGGCUGGAGCUUCCGUCAGUGCAGAUCGUAAUGGUAGUAGCAAAUAUUUCAAGUUCGAUCCUUGAAGACUGAAGUGGAGAAGGGUUCCACGUGAACAGUAGUUGGAUGUGGGUCAGUCGAUCCUAAGGUACUGGCGAAAGCCUUGUAUCAUCGGUGGCGAAAAGCUGCUUUUUGUCCCCGCCCGUCGAAAGGGAAUAGGGUUAAUAUUCCCUAACUGAGAUGCAAAGAUUGUGUUCUUCGGAGCACAAGCGCGGUAACGUCGUUCGAACUUGGUAAGUCGCUCAGAGACCGAGCUAGAGUUUUCUUCUCUAGUUAAGGAACGGACUCCCUGGAAUUGGUUCAGCCAGAGAUGGGGACGUUGUUUCCGAAAAGCACCGCGGUUUCUGUGGUGUCUCGUGCUCUCUGAACGGCCCUUUUAAACACCAAGGGAGGCUAUUAAUUUGCACUCAAUCGUACCGAUAUCCGCAUUAGGUCUCCAAGGUGAACAGCCUCUAGUCGAUAGAAUAAUGUAGGUAAGGGAAGUCGGCAAAACUAGAUCCGUAACUUCGGGAAAAGGAUUGGCUCCAGUGGUCGGAACGGUUGGCCAGUUGGUUGAUGCUUGUCCGGCGCUGUUCUGUCU
rnacentral:ncRNA from 1 species